rnacentral:lncRNA from 1 species
UUGGUUACAAAUCAAUGAUUUAGAGACAAACUUGAAUCCGAAAAAAGAAAAGAAAAUUAACAAUUAUUGGCUCAAAAGAUUGAUUUUGUUUAAAAUGGAGAGUGUCUCACAUUUUCUAACCCCUGGGAAUCAUGUACAAGAAGCCAAGUUUAGGUGUGAAGUUGUUGGAUUUUUGUCUAAUAGCUAAUUAACUCUAUAUAUACAAUAUCUUUUC